CACUUCACUGGGUUCAGGUCUCCAUUCUUUUCUGCUGGCCAUGUGUUUCACUAAAUUCUGGCCCCAUUCACCUCUUAGAAGUUAAGUCCUAAUUAGCCUAAGCAAAUCAUGAUAAUUAUAUUCUUAUUCUCAGUGACUGGAUUAAGAAAAGGCAUGUGACUCAGUUCUAUGAAAUAGGAGAGAGAAGUCUGCUGAAGGUGCUCCCCUCUUAGAAGAGACACAAGGAAACAACAAUCCUUUCUUUUCCUCUGGGUCUUGGUGUGUGAGGAUGCCACGACUGGAGGGAGCCAGGCGAUAUACGGACAACGGCAGCAAAGAGUGACGGCAGCCCCCAGCACUUUUCUAGCCUCUGGGAUAAAGCAACGAACAAAAGAAUGCAGAAAUCCCUGUUAUCACCGAGCUUCAUUCUAGCAUUGGCGGACGGGGGAAAUGCAAAAGGAUAAGAACUGGAAAAUGCUCCGCUUCAACCGUAUUGAAGAGGUCCACAUUCUGUCCUUCUCUACUGCUCAGGGCACCCGAGGAUGGCUUGUCUGGACUGCAUCAACAGGUUCACCUGCCCUCUGGCUUCUGGUUGGGCUUGGCCCAGAAAUACUCCUGCUGCGAGUUACUCUGUUAUAUGCUUGCGAAAGUACACCAAGAUCAUUUACAAGGACGGUCCCUGCAGUAUUGUUUGUAAUGGCAAAAUUAUGGAAACUGCUCAUAUAUUCCUCAGUUGGAAGACUAGUUAAAUAAAAUAUAGUGUAGCAUACCUUGGGACACUUUGUAAAAAUGAAAAAGGGAUGGCUCUGGAGGUGCUGACUUGGAAAGUUCUCCCAGAUAUAUUUUAAAUGAAAAAAGCUAUGGUAUGAUCCAAUUUAUAAGACAGCUGGAUUCUCAUAUCUGCAUUCAGUCUACUGCAAUAUGAUGUUUUGGGUGGAAUUAUCGGAAGAAAAUCUGGCCUCACACGGACACGUAGUUGGAAGAGGGAGGGUCCCACAGACCCUCUGAAAUGGUCCCCAGGAUCCCAGGGCUCCUCUGACCACACACUGAGGACCGCUGUGCCGGAGCAGGGCACAUCUUAACAAAGGUGGGACAGUGCUGGGGAAUUAAAAUGUUUACUCUGAGAACUUGGCAUUAACGUGAAACAACUGUUCACAAUUCAGUCAUUUUCAUGAGACUACAACUGGAGGUUGGAAAAUUCUGUACCUGUCGAUUCUUCCCCAUAUCCAACACGGCAGAAAAGUAUAACUUAAAUACCUUAAAUAGUAAAAUGAAAUAAAGGGC
rnacentral:lncRNA from 1 species